UACAUUUUGAGACAGAGUCUGGGACUCAACC
rnacentral:piRNA from 1 species